rnacentral:rRNA from 1 species
AUGCGAUCAUACCAGCACUAAAGCACCGGAUCCCAUCUCCUCGUGUUGCAUUCCCC